rnacentral:rRNA from 1 species
GCUGACGAGUGGCGGACGGGUGAGUAAUACGUAGGAAUCUGCCUUGUUGAGAGGGAUAGCCUAGGGAAACUUAGGGUAAUACCGCAUAAGCCCGAGAGGGGAAAGCCGGGGAGCCGCGAGGUCCUGGCGCGAUGAGAUGAGCCUACGUCGGAUUAGCUAGUUGGUGGGGUAAAGGCCUACCAAGGCGACGAUCCGUAGCUGGUCUGAGAGGACGACCAGCCACACUGGGACUGAGACACGGCCCAGACUCCUACGGGAGGCAGCAGUGGGGAAUAUUGGACAAUGGGCGGAAGCCUGAUCCAGCAAUGCCGCGUGUGUGAAGAAGGCCUGAGGGUUGUAAAGCACUUUCAGCGGGGAGGAAAGAGCUCGUUGCUAAUAUCAACGAAGGAUGAUGUUACCCGCAGAAGAAGCACCGGCUAACUCUGUGCCAGCAGCCGCGGUAAUACAGAGGGU